rnacentral:lncRNA from 13 species
ACAUAUCUGGAUAUAUAUUCAAACAGGUAAGUGUAUAUAUGUAUAUAUAUAAACAGAUAAGUUUGUGUGUGUGUAUAUGUAUAUAUAUAAACAGAUGUGUGUGUACAUAUGUAUAUAUACAAAAACAGAUAAGUGUAUGUGUAUAUCCUGUAUAUAUAUAUCAACAGAUAAGUGUGUGUGUAUAAAUGUGUAUAUAUAUAAACAGAUAUGUGUGUGUAUGUGUAUAUAUAUAUAAACAGAUGUAUGUGUGUAUAUGUGUAUAUAUAUAUAAACAGAUAUGUGUGUGUGUGUAUAUAUGUGUAUAUAUAUAUAAACAGAUAUGUGUGUGUGUAUAUAUGUGUAUAUAUAAACAGAUAAGUGAAAGGAUAUAUGUACAUCUCCUAUUGGUUUUGUUUCUUUGAAGAACCCUAAAACAUAAACUCUUUAUCCAGAUAUCUGCACUCCUUUCUCCUUAGCAAUUUCAAGUCUUUGCUCAAAUGUUAGCUUUUCAAGAAGGUCCUCCCUGUCUACCCUUUAUCUGAAAUUGCACUACACUUGCUAGAACUCUUUUUUUUGAGACUGAGUCUCCCUGUGUUGCCCAGGCUGGAGUGCAGUGGCGCGAUCUCAACUUGCUGCGACGUCUGCCUCCAUGGUUCCAGCCAUACUCCUGCCUCAGCCUCCUGGGUAGCUAUAAUUACAGGUGUGCACCACCACACCCAGCUAAUUUUUUUGUAUUUUUAGUAAAGACGGGGUUUUGCCAUGUUGGCCAGGCUGGUCUCAGACUCCUGGCCUCAGGUGAUCUGCCUGCCUCGGUCUCCCAAAGUGCUGGGAUUACAGGCAUGAGCCACCGUGCCCAGCCCCCUAGUACAUUUGAUGUCUAGCUUGUUCUACUCAUGGUACCAUAAUUCAUCAAUUUGGUGUGGAGAUAAUUUUUCAUGUUUUAAUAUCUCUAGAAUUAGGACGGAGCUUUACAAUCCCUGUUGUCAGGGAACGGUGAUGGUGUUAUUGUCAUUGCUUGUAGAAGCUUAAGAGAAAAACAUUAGGUUGGUGCAAAAGCAAUCGAGGCUUUUGUCACUUAAAAAAUUACUUUUAGGCUGGGUGCGGUGGCUCACACCUUUAAUCUCAGCACUUUGGGAGGAUGAGGCAGGCAGAUCACCUGAUAUCGGGAGUUCGAGACCAGGCUGACCAACAUAGAGAAACCUCAUCUCUACUAAAAGUACAAAAUUAGCCCGGUGUGUUGGUGCAUGCCUGUAAUCCCAGCUACUUGGGAGGCAGAGGCAAGAGAAAAACUUGAACCCAGGAGGUAAAGUUUGUAGUGAGCCAAGAUGGCACCAUUGCACUCCAGCCUGGGCAACAAGAGUGAAACUCCAUUUCAAAGAAAAAGCUACUUUUGCACCAACCUAUUAAUUAAGUGCUGUUAAU